CCUCCCUUUCUGCCCUCCCACACCAAAUCUCAAGCAACCACGAGCUUUACGUAGAUAGGGGUUUUCUUCAGACCCAAAGACCAAAGUUGAAGAAUCCUAUCCAGGUGUUGAAUACAAAUGCCUGAACCAACAUCCAGAUGUUCAUUUUAGUGUCUUAACUAAACUUGCCAGGGCUACAGCUGCCCAGGCACAGAUUAUACAACCAGCUUUCAAAAGGGAUUAACCUCGACUUAGGUGCCAGGGCUCCAGUGUACCCUCCUAUUGUUGUCGGUUCCAAACCCAUUUUGAGGUCUCUGCUUUUUCCAUGAGAACGUCAAAACUGGAGGCCUUUCAAAGUAGCUGCUGUGAACACGGAGGCCCCACAGCCAGCCUGACAGUCCCUCCAGUUGCUCUCAGAGACUUGCUUCACAUGGAUACACAGAGCAAUUCUCCAGACACAGACGCAUCUGAUGCCCUUUCCCGAAAACAACAUUUCCAGAAAAUAUGCUGACCAUGAAGAAACAGCAGGGGGAACUGCGCAUCUGUCAGUGCAUUACACAGUCAAUAUUGACACGGCCAGCCAAUGGAAUAUAAAAGGAACAUUAGCGGCCUUGAAAUCUAUUUUUUUCUGAUGGGGUACAAAGCUAUCCUGAAAAACAACUGAGUCUUCAUAACUGGUCUGCACCUUAUCCAGCCACCUCAUUUCUCACCAUUUUCCACUACAGACUCUGAUAACAAUGAGGCCAGCCUUCUUCAUUCAGCAUUCUCUCCACUGGUUCUUCCCUGGAACACCAACAAUGACCACCAAGCCCCUCUGCUCAUCUUCAGCAUCUUCAUUCUCCUGCAUUUGUUCAGCCAUUGAACCCUGAACACUCUGACAAACACUGUCCUAUGUACUGGGGAUGCUUCUGGGAGCAAGAAAGACAAGUUCACUGCCAUCAAGGGCCCUCCGAGAGCUCUUGACAGUAAACAGGGUGUUCCCCUGCCAGCAUCCUCCUCCCUAGGUGAAUCCUCCAGCUCUGAUGCUCUCUCCUCUAUGAUUUCUCUUUUAAUUACCAUUAACUCAUUAUCUUAUCUUUUUUCCUACAGCUCUUGUAGGCUGUUUCGUAUAAUUUAGGGUAUGAUUUUAUUUUUUAAAAUUCUCACCUAAAAAGCACCACCCAGGAAACUGUUUUUUUUUUUUUUCCAUAUUCUUAUAACCCAGAGUAGACAUCAAAUGCUUGUUGAUUUCAGAAGAGCAUAUCAGAAAAGCUGGGCACAUGUGAGAAACUUUCCCAGGGAACAGGACCCACCAUUGCCCCUCAGUGGCACCUGUAUGGUAGGCUGGUCGGCCCUGCUGGGAGGGCGGCACUAGUGAGGACAGUCUGAUUCACGGCUUGUCCAAAGCCAACCACAGGGGAAGCCAUGCUCAAGGACAUCUUCCUGCUGCCGGCAAAAGACGAGUGUCUCCUAGCAACCAGCUUCCAGUGGCUUCCUGUCCUGGGAGCCUCCCUGUGCUCACUGCUUUACGUCCUGGGGUUUUGUAUUUUGGCCUUGCUAAUCACUAUUUUUAUUCUAGAUUCUGGAAAUUGAGGAAUAAAUGCAGGCUAGCUGCUGACGUUCAAGCGGAGACACUAUUUCAUUCAUAACCUCCUUUCAGCAACCACUCAUGACUUUCAUGGAACGGAAUGUUUGGUCUUAGUCUAAAAAGGGUAAAUAUAUUUUUUAAAGAUUCCAUUUAUAUCAAGACAGUUGGUUUGAAAGAUACAUAAAAAAGGAAAAGCACACAUUCUUUCCAUCAAAUAAUCAAAAAGUACUGACCUUUUCAAAACAGAUACACUAUCAUUCAAAACCUGUUACAGCAAUAAACUCUAACUUGGCAAGUUCACAGAUGCAGAAAGAAAGGCAAGGCAAAUUUGAAGAAAAUGGUUCAAAGGUCCUUGAAAGUUGUGGUGGCUUAAAAUUAUGUCUGCUGCAAUAUGGAUUGAGCAUUUAUUUCCUCCAUGUUCUUCCUAGAGAGUCUAACCUCAGUUUCAAGAUAUACAGUGCUACAUUUUUAUUUUGGUGGGAUUGAACUCUGCAGUUCAUGUUGCUUUUUAAUGUUUUCUCUUGUUUUUAUCAAAUAUUCAUCAAUACACAAAUUCCUCAUCUGUUAAAAAAUUAAUCAGACUUCACAGUGAAGAGCUGGAAACUAUAAGUAUAUCCUUUAUUCAAAAAAACCCAUAAAUUUAAUUUAAGGUGUGAUUACUUUUCUCUUUCAAUAAGAAAACUCAAAGACUUAAGGUGAGUUGAGUGCCCAGAGUUAAAUGCAUGAGAGGGCUGGUAAACCCCAGAACUCUUUUCCAGCAAAGCCACCAAAGCCUGGUACUGCCUGGGGUUCCCUGAGCAGCAAGUUGAGGUUUGGAGUCUGCCACUGCUGUAUUUAUGUAGUGAGCUCGGUCUCUGCAGACUUGUGAGUUCUUUGGAGGUAUCCCUCAAUUCCUCCCCCCAUUUCCGUCCCCCUGUCCCAGCAAUAACAGCCACAAAGUCAUAAGUCCAAGAUUAAUUCUAACUGUUUUGGCUGUAGUAGACUCUCUCUAAACCUAAGAAUGACUUCUGCCUUCUCAGGGAUAGUAUAGGAUUUACCAGGUGGAGCCAGUGACUUCCAUCUUUUCAGCAUCUACUUUUGAAAUUUAUCCUUGGAUGGAGUUUUUUUUUUUU
rnacentral:lncRNA from 1 species